AUGCACAGACGUGCACACGUGCAUAUGCAUGUGUACAUACCACACACACACAUCCACACGUGCACAUACAUAACCACACAUAAGCAUACCCACACGCACACACCCACAUGCACACCCACAUAUGCGAGCCCACGCCCCCACACUGGCGCGAACACACCUACACAUGCAAGCACACACGCACACACCAACACAGGCACACGCACACACACCCACACACACGCACACACCAACACACAUGCGCACACCCACACACACACGCAUGUACACCCCCACACAGGCAUACACACAUGCACACACCCACACGCACGCACACACCCACACCAGCAUGCACACAUCCACAUGCGCACACCCCCACACGUGUGCAAACAUACCCACACACAUGCACACACACCCACAUGCACGCGCAUGCAUGUGCACACACACGCAUCCAGACAUACCCAAACAGGCGUAUGCACACACGCACACACGCGCAUGCACACACCCACACAUGCGCACACACACGUGCGUACACACCCACACGCACAUACCCAUACACUCGUAGACACAGAUACCCACACGUGCGUGCACACAUGCGCACACACCCACACACAUGCACACACACAUACCCAGACGCGCACAUACCCACCUGCACCCACACACAACUCCACAGGCGCACACAUGAAUGCACACAUGCACACACACAUCCCCUGGCUCAGUCCCCACUACCGGCCUGCUCAGUAUCAUCAUCCUCAGUUUACAAGUAUGAAAACCGAGGCUCAGGGAUGUCACAAGCACACCCAAAGGGUGGCCCGGCUCUGCCAGCUCCAUACCCUGCUCCAGACGCCACGCCUGCCCCUCCACAAGCCACGCGAAGGCUCCACUUAUUUCCUUGGGGUUAGCCCCACGAGCAGGUGGGGAGGCCUCUGUGGGGUCUGCUUGCCUGUCCCGCUCAUUAAUGCCUCACUCUUCCCAGAUGCGAGAAGGGGUAUCUGGGACCUCACAGCCCAGGAAAACACAAGUUGCACAUGA
rnacentral:lncRNA from 1 species